rnacentral:rRNA from 1 species
UCCUACGGGAGGUAGCAGUGGGGAAUAUAGCACAAUGGGCGCAAGCCUGAUGCAGCAACGCCGCGUGAGGGACGAAGGCCUUCGGGUUGUAAACCUCUUUUAGUAGGGAAGAAGCGACUGGGUUUUCCUGGGAGUGACGGUACCUGCAGAAAAAGCACCGGCUAACUACGUGCCAGCAGCCGCGGUAAUACGUAGGGUGCAAGCGUUGUCCGGUAUUAUUGGGCGUAAAGAGCUCGUAGGCGGUUUGUCGCGUCUGCUGUGAGAACCCGAGGCUCAACCUCGGGCCUGCAGUGGGUACGGGCAGACUAGAGUGCGGUAGGGGAGAUUGGAAUUCCUGGUGUAGCGGUGGAAUGCGCAGAUAUCAGGAGGAACACCAAUGGCGAAGGCAGAUCUCUGGGCCGUAACUGACGCUGAGGAGCGAAAGCAUGGGGAGCGAACAGGAUUAGAUACCCUGGUAGUCCAUGCCGUAAACGUUGGGAACUAGAUGUGGGGACCAUUCCACGGUCUCCGUGUCGCAGCUAACGCAUUAAGUUCCCCGCCUGGGGAGUACGGCCGCAAGGCUAAAACUCAAAGGAAUUGACGGGGGCCCGCACAAGCGGCGGAGCAUGCGGAUUAAUUCGAUGCAACGCGAAGAACCUUACCAAGGCUUGACAUAUACCGGAAACGGCUGGAAACAGUCGCCCCGCAAGGUCGGUAUACAGGUGGUGCAUGGUUGUCGUCAGCUCGUGUCGUGAGAUGUUGGGUUAAGUCCCGCAACGAGCGUAACCCUCGUCCUAUGUUGCCAGCACGUAAUGGUGGGAACUCAUGGGAUACUGCCGGGGUCAACUCGGAGGAAGGUGGGGAUGACGUCAAAUCAUCAUGCCCCUUAUGUCUUGGGCUUCACGCAUGCUACAAUGGCCGGUACAAAGGGCUGCGAUACCGCAAGGUGGAGCGAAUCCCAAAAAGCCGGUCUCAGUUCGGAUUGAGGUCUGCAACUCGACCUCAUGAAGUCGGAGUCGCUAGUAAUCGCAGAUCAGCAACGCUGCGGUGAAUACGUUCCCGGGCCUUGUACACACCGCC